UACAGAGGGUGCGAGCGUUAAUCGGAAUUACUGGGCGUAAAGCGUGCGUAGACGGUUAUUUAAGUCGGGUGUGAAAGCCCCCGGGCUCAACCUGGGAAUUGCAUUCGAGACUGAAUAGCUAGGGUACGGUAGAGGGAAGUGGAAUUUCCGGUGUAGCGGUGAAAUGCGUAGAUAUCGGAAGGAACACCAGUGGCGAAAGCGGCUUCCUGGUCCAGCACCGACGUUCAGGCACGAAAGCGUGGGGAGCAAACAGG
rnacentral:rRNA from 1 species